rnacentral:rRNA from 1 species
GACGAACGCUGGCGGCGUGCUUAACACAUGCAAGUCGAACGAAGUGGCGAACGGGUGAGUAACGCGUAAUCAACCUGCACCUCAGAGGGGGACACCAGUUGGAAACGACUGCUAAUACCGCAUACUGAAGGAGGGGAUUGCGUCUGAUUAGCUAGCUGGCGGGGGAACGGCCCAACAAGGGGAUGAUCAGUAGCCGGUCUGAGAGGCUGAACGGCCACAUUGGGACUGAUGCACGGCCCAGAAUCCUACAGUAGGCAGCAGUUGGAAAUCUUCCGAAAUGGACGAAAGUCUGACGGAGCAACUCCGCGUGAGUGAGGACGGCCUUCGGGUUGUAAAGCUCUGUUAAUCGGGACGCGGUACCGGAAUAGAAAGCCACGGCUAACUACGUGCCAGCAGCCGCGGUAAUAC